GAUGAACGCUGGCGGCGUGCCUAAUACAUGCAAGUCGAGCGAACAGACGAGGAGCUUGCUCCUCUGACGUUAGCGGCGGACGGGUGAGUAACACGUGGAUAACCUACCUAUAAGACUGGGAUAACUUCGGGAAACCGGAGCUAAUACCGGAUAAUAUAUUGAACCGCAUGGUUCAAUAGUGAAAGACGGUUUUGCUGUCACUUAUAGAUGGAUCCGCGCCGCAUUAGCUAGUUGGUAAGGUAACGGCUUACCAAGGCGACGAUGCGUAGCCGACCUGAGAGCGAGGAUCGGUACCCGGGCUCAGAGGAUGAGCAGACACAUCUAGGCGAGGACGCAGCAGGGAAUCCUACGCGAUGCAGGAGAGCCGAACCGAGCACAGCCGGCUGAGGCCUGACGGUCCUCGGCCGCGAAAAUUAUGUUAGUAGGAGAGAACAAAUGUGCAAGCACCUAUGAACGUAUUGACGGUACCUGAUGAGAAAGCCCCGGCUAACUACGUG
rnacentral:rRNA from 1 species